UAAUGGUUCGUGGGAAAUGAGUUGAAAGGCAAACUUAUCGAAAUAUGGGCUGCCUCUGUACACUGAUGCAAAACAGAAAUGCAGAGACAGAGUUGGAGGAAACAAAAAGUAGCUUUAAUUGCCAGGCAAAGAGGGGAACACAGCAGGCUAGUUCCUCAAAGAAUGUUCCCCAUGGAGGGGAUAGUGAGGUAUCUUAUAGCGCUUGAGGAACAGAGUGUGAUCUGCUCAUGGACAUUUUCCUGAUUAUCUGAUGGUGAGGUAACUGGGAGUCAGUGUCAUCAACCUUUUGGUUCCAGCUGGUCUAGGGUCUAUGUGCUUGUGGGCAGCAUACUGUUGACUUCUUCUGCCUGGUGGGGACUUCAGCACCUGCAAAGCAGCUCCAAGGAUAUGGCUCAGAAUAUUACCUGUAGUCUUUGAAGAAGAACUGAAGUUUUUCUGUAGAUAAAAAUCAGGUGGAAGACAGGAUUUGGGGCGGGGGUCCACUCUGGGAAGACCUCACAGAGUCCUGCUUGGUUACAAAUUUAGAGUUAAGGCCAUGAGUCUGGAAAGCUAGUGGUGGCCUCAUCUUAAAGCAACAUCCUGAGCUCCACACAUCCAUGAGUGUUGCCAAGUCUCCCAGAAGUACCAGAGUCAUCACAGCAGCAACACAAAGAUGGUUUCUGCAUCAUGGUUCCUGCUGACAAGCCACAGGAGCUUCCUGGACCUGCCAGUUUUCCAAGACAAGUGCUCCAGACUCUUGAUAAUACUGAGCACCUGAGGUGAUUCUGAUAUACAUAUUCUGGCUUCUUUUUCUUUUUUUUUUUUCUUUUCCUUCCCUUCUUCUUCCCUCCCUCCUUUCUUUCCUUCAUUCUUUCCCUUUCUUUCUUCCUUUCUUUCUUUCUUUUCCUUCUUUCUUUUUCUUUCUUUCUUUCUUUCUUUUUUCCAACCAGAAUUGCUCUCUGUGGCUUGCAACCAAGGCCAAAUGAAGAAAGAAUUACACUAUGGUGCAAUUCCAUCAUACAUAAGCAAUAAGAAAUUAGGAAAAUCUUGUGGUCUGUCUGAAUCUGUUUGCUCUUGUAGAAUCUGAAUCUUAUAUCUGUUUGACUUCCUAAACUCUGAGGCUUGUUGUGCAACCAAAAAAGUUACUGUUAAGCAGUGGAAUAAUGAUAAUGAUGAUAACUAAAGAUGGUGAUGAUACUUUAUUAGAGUUUCAUUCAAUAAAUAUACAGAAAAAGAAAUAUACAGAAGUGGAAGGUAGGCUACUACAUACACUUUUAAAAAUUACAUGCAGAUUACAAAUAGAUUUCUUUCUGAGUGUUAGAAUAAAAUAUUUGAAAAUCACCAUACAUUUCAAUGCAUCAAGAUGGUCAUUCCUUAAAGGAGGUAUUGAAUGUUACAUGAAUGACACUGAUUUUUCAUUUAUUUUCUUACAGACAUGGAUUUCUUUAUUUCAAUUUUUUUUUUUUU